rnacentral:rRNA from 1 species
UUAAUUGAAGAGUUUGAUCAUGGCUCAGAUUGAACGCUGGCGGCAGGCCUAACACAUGCAAGUCGAGCGGUAACAGGAGAAAGCUUGCUUUCUUGCUGACGAGCGGCGGACGGGUGAGUAAUGUAUGGGGAUCUGCCCGAUAGAGGGGGAUAACUACUGGAAACGGUGGCUAAUACCGCAUAAUGUCUACGGACCAAAGCAGGGGCUCUUCGGACCUUGCACUAUCGGAUGAACCCAUAUGGGAUUAGCUAGUAGGUGGGGUAAAGGCUCACCUAGGCGACGAUCUCUAGCUGGUCUGAGAGGAUGAUCAGCCACACUGGGACUGAGACACGGCCCAGACUCCUACGGGAGGCAGCAGUGGGGAAU